rnacentral:misc_RNA from 1 species
GUGAAUCAUCAAAUUUUUGAACGCAUAUUGCACUUUCUGGUAUUCCGGAAAGUAUGCCUGUUUGAGGGUCAGUUAAAUAAAAAUCGGUGUUGUUGCUACUUUUAGUGGUGAUGCAUCGGAAUUGAGUUGGCUUUACCUUUGGUUAAAGGGACUUAAAAUUAUGUACGAUUUUUGGACGGAUUUAAAUUGUUUACGUAUGUUCAUAAUAUCAUAUAUUAGGUGCGAGCAUUCUUAUGAUUUCGCGGCUAUAAUUUUUCAUUAUUAGACCUCAAAUCAGGGAAGAGUACCCCCUGAAU